ACAGAUAGAGGUGUCGGAACGAUUGGUGGAGUGGUGAAAUGCGUUGAUAUCAAUCGGAACGCCAAAUGAGAAGUCAGGCAACUGGAUCUGUUCUGACGCUGAGGCACGAAAGCGUGGGUAGCGAACGGGAUUAGAUACCCCGGUAGUCCACGCCGUAAACAAUGUGCACUAGGUCGAGGGCGUUCUGACGCGACUCUCGGCCGAAGCGAAAGUGUUAAGUGCACCGCCUGGGGAGUACGGUCGCAAGGCUAAAACUCAAAGGAAUUGACGGGGGCUCACACAAGCGGUGGAGCAUGUGGCUUAAUUCGAAGCAACGCGAAGAACCUUAUCCUAGGUUUGACAUACACGGAUUAGCUAUAAGAAACUAUAGUGACACCUUCGGGUGGAACGUGAACAGGUGCUGCAUGGCUGUCGUCAGCUCGUGCUGUGAAGUGUCGGGUUAAGUCCCUUAACGAGCGCAACCCUUAUCGUUAGUUGCUAGCAGGUAAUGCUGAGGACUCUAGCGAGACUGCCGGUGUUAAACCGGAGGAAGGUGGGGAUGACGUCAAGUCCGCAUGGCCUUUAUGCCUAGGGCUGCACACGUGCUACAAUGGCAAGUACAAAACGAAGCAAUACCGCGAGGUGGAGCAAAUCGCAAAAACUUGCCCCAGUUCGGAUUGUAGGCUGCAACUCGCCUACAUGAAGUUGGAAUCGCUAGUAAUCGUGGAUCAGCACGCCACGGUGAAUACGUUCCUGAGCCUUGUACACACCGCCCGUCAAGUCAUGGAAGCUGGUAGUGCCUUAAGUCGCCACGAUUCAGUGGUGCCCACGGCAAGACUGGUGACUGGGACUAAGUCGUAACAAGGUAGCCGUAGGGGAACCUGCGGCUG
rnacentral:rRNA from 1 species